AAUAAUGCAGCCAGGGGAUGUAGUACCCUGUGUUGGCAGUAAAAUGAGGCUCGUGGCACUCUGAAAUGCUACUAGGGGAUGUCGUACGCUAUGCAGAAAAUAAUGCAGCCAGGGGAUAUAGUACCCUGUGUUGAGAAUAAAAUGAGGCUCAUGGCACUCUAAAAUGCUACUAGGGGAUGUUGUACCCUAUGUAGAAAAUAAUUCAGCCAGGGGACGUAGUACACUGUGUUGGCAAUAAAAUGAGGCUCGUGGCUCUCUGAAAUGCUACUAGGGGAUGUGGUAGCCUAUGCAGAAAAUAAUGCAGCCAGGGG
rnacentral:lncRNA from 1 species